GGCAAGGGGUGACGUGACUGAAGUGGCGCCGCGAGAGGGCACAGGCGGAAGGGGCGUGGCCAAUGCGGGUGAGGGGCGGGGCUAGGCGGCCUGUAGUUUAGACUGGGCGAGGCCUCCGAGGAUAGCGCGGGUGGAGCCAGACUAAAACAACAAUGACAAAAGCGAAUUUCCUCCAGUGUCCUUGAUGUCAAAGUCUGCAAUUCUACCAUGUUUUGAGCUGGACUGGUAGCUCAGAUUGGACUCAGAUGAGGACUGUGGAUUUCAUUGUGGUUUUUUUUUUUUAACAUUUUUUAUUUAAUUUUAACUUAAUCAUGCAAGGAAAUGUACACUUUUUGCUAAACAGUGAUAAUCAUAUAACCACCACCAUAAUCAAGAUGCAGAAUAAUUCCGUUCACCCCCCAAAAUUCCCUCAUGCUGACCGUUUGUGGUCUGUGCCUCCCCCUACACCCCUACACACAUCCCUGGCGAUGCCCCCUCCAUCCCUAAAGUUUUGUCUUUGCAUGAAUAUCAUACAAAUGGAAUCAUCAUACAGUGUGUAACCUUUUGAGGCUGGCUUCUUUCAUUUAGCAUAAUGCAUUUGAAAUUUACCUGAAUCAAUAUUUCAGUUCUUUUUAUUCUUUAUAUUCCAUUUAGUGGUGUGUCACAAUUUAUCCAUUCACCAUUUGAAGGGCAGUCUCUGGCAAUUAUGAGUAAUGCUGCGAUACAUGCCAGCAUACAGAUUCUGUAUCACUUAAACAUUUUUUUCAUUUGGUGGCACAAGAACAGACACUCAGAUCAGUGGAACAGAAUAGAGAACCCAGAAAUGAACCCACAAACGUAUGAUCAACUCAUCUUUGACGAAGCAGGAAGGAAUAUCCAAUGGAAUAAAGACAGUCUCUUCAGCAAGUGGUGCUGAGAAAACUGGACAGCGACAUGCAGAAAAAUGAACCUGGACCACUUUCUUACACCAGACACAAAAAUAAACUCAAAAUGGAUAAAAAAAAGUUUCACUUGGGAGUAGGAUUAUGGGUUUUGGUGCUAUUAGAAAUGGUCCUGUCUGUAAUUCCUUUUUUUUUUUAAAUUUAUUUAUUAAUUUUGAGAGACAGAGCAGGAGGGGCAGAAAGAGAGGGAGAGACAGACAGUCCCAAGCAGGUUCCACACUGUCAGCACGGAGCCCAAUGCGGGCUUGAUCUCAUGAACCGUGAAAUUGUGACCUGAGCCAAAAUCAAGAGUCAGAUGCCCAAUUGACUGAGCCACCCGGGUGCACCUGUAAUUCCUAUUUUUAAUUGUUCACUGCUAGUACAUAAAAAUACACUUAAUUUUUGUAUACUACUUCAUAUUCUGUGACCUAGCUAAAUUUACUUCUUAGUUCUAGAAACUAUCUUGUAGAUUCCUUCUAAGCACUGCUUUACCUGGAAUCCACAAACUUUAAUGUGUUCUAUAUUUUAUCAUUCAGUUCAAAAUAUUUUCUGAUUUUUCUCAUUACUUCUUUGACUCAUAGGUUAUUUAGAAGUGUCCUUUCUUAUUUCACAAUGUUUUGGUAUAUUCCAGAUACCUUACUGUAAUUGAUUAUUAGCUUCAUUUCAUUAUAAUUAGGAAAUGUACUUUGCAAAAUUUUAGUUAUUUCAAGUUUGUUGAUGUUUGUUUUAUGAUCCCCCAGAAUGGCCUAUUUUGAUGAAUGUCCCAUGUGCACCUAAAAAGAUUGUGUAUUCUAUUGUUUUGGAUGGAAUGUUUUCCAAAUCUCAAUUAGAUGAAGUUGAUUUAUAAUGUUCAGGUUUUGUAUAUUUUGCUGAUUUUCUGCACUAGAAAUUAUUGAUUAUUGAGAGAAGACUGCUGACAUCUCCAGGAAUAAUUGUGAAUUUUCUUCUUAAUUCCAUCAUGAUUUGCUCCAUGGAUUUUGAAGCUCUUUUGUUGUGCAUGCACAUUCAGGAAUUGUAUAUCUUCUUGGUAAAUUGAUUCUUUUAUUAUAAUGUCCUUUUGGAUCCCCUUUUUAUUGUUUCUUUUUCUGAAAUCUACUUUGUCUAUAUUAAUGUAGCCCCUCUAGUUUCUUUUGACUAGUAUUUUCAUAGUGUAUCUCUUUUUAUCUUUUUGCUCUUAACCUAAGUCAUUAUAUUUGUUUAAAUAUAGAA